rnacentral:lncRNA from 1 species
GCUUGCAGGACUGGGAGGAGGAGUGCCCUAAGGGACUUCGGUAUAAAAGUCCUUCACUGGGUCUGGCCCUCACCACCUAACCCAGACCUUUGGCAGAGUUCUGGUGCCUCGGUGGAAGACAGAGCCCAGCCAAACUGAAGAAUGGCCUGAGAAACCAUGAGGAUAAGCAUAACUAUACCAAGCUGCUGCCUAAAUCUCUGCUGUUGUGUGGCCCCCCCAUGGCUGAGAUGAGCCUUUCCCUCGUGCCAUGCAGGGGUGAAGGUGCUGCAGAGUCAUGUCCAGCAGCUCGCACGGUGCCGUGUCAGAGGUGCUGGACGUAGGGCACGGGUGCUCCUGGCUGGCUCUGCCAUCGCUGCCUGCACUCAGCUGCGGGUCUCAGCCUCACAAAGAAAACCCAGCUUUUGUGCUUCCAGGCCCUGGGGGCCUCAAAUGUGUUCCUUCAUGAGAGGGUAUGGCUUCAACAGGAGCACCAGGGAGCAUUUCUCACCUCUUCUCUGUAAACUGAUGGGGGUCGCAUCCAUCCAGCUGGCUCCUUGACCCCGGCGAUGCAGGCUGUGCCUGGAGAGGUGGCAGAGGAGGCCCGGAGAACCAGGACGUGCCAGGGGAAGCCGAAAGGGAGGGCUCUCCUUCUUCCUAGCUGUGUCACUUGAUGACGGCUGCACCUCGGUGUCCACCCACGCUGCUUCCUACUCCUCUGAGGCAGCUGCUGGGCUCGGCUCCGUGUGGAAAUGCUGCUCCAGAACCUGCCCGUCCCUUUGUGCAGAAGCAGUGGGUAGGCCCAGCCUAGCGUGGCUGGAUGUUGACGCUUGUGGUGGCCUUCUGUGGGCAGAGGUGGGAAGAGGUGAGCAGCAGACAAACCUAUGGUGCUCAGUGGAGGCAUUGCACACGAGCUGGUGGCUGGCCCGAGCACCUUCUCAAGCGGUGCCCCUACGUAGAGUGCCCUUGGUAAAAGCCAAGGCAAAACCCCUUCCUCAGAGGGUGUUUGGUCUACUCUGUAAAAGCAAGGAAGGCAAUCUGCAGAAGAAGAUGAUCCCAGAUCUGUGCUGCCUCCUGGAUCUACCCAUAGGUUUCCUGCUGGUGAAAGCAGCUUCAGAAGAGCCAGCAGCUGUGAAAGCAAACUUUUCUCUGUCUGGGGCAGACCCAUGUUAGGUGGUUUUGCUCCAGAAAGGGAAAAUCGUUCUUGCUUCAUUGCAGGGAAGUUAAAGUUACCUUUGUAUUGCACUUACUGUCCUUAAUUAAAUUGAAUAAUUUUACAUAAUAAAUCGAGCCUUGCACCUGCA